UACGGAGGGUGCGAGCGUUAAUCGGAAUCACUGGGCGUAAAGCGCACGUAGGCGGCUUGGUAAGUCACAUGUGAAAGCCCUCGGCUCAACCGGGGAACUGCGUGUGAUACUGCCUUGCUUGAGUCCUGGAGAGGGUGGCGGAAUUCCCGGUGUAGGAGUGAAAUCCGUAGAUAUCGGGAGGAACACCAGUGGCGAAGGCGGCCACCUGGACAGGUACUGACGCUGAGGUGCGUAGAUAUUAGGAGGAACA
rnacentral:rRNA from 1 species